CGAGGUUAAAGCGGAUGUACAUACGUAGCCGACAGGGUGGGCUCAUCCUCUCGAGCCUCCAGCGGUCGUCGCGUUCGGACCGUCGCCACACUCGAAUCCCUUUCGGGGGAAACGACUGGCGUCGGCCGUCGCGGCGGCGGACUCGGGGGAGAGAGCGGUGGAUUCCCCUCCUCAGUAGGCAGUCGCGGCCGUUCGAGAGUCGUCUAAGACCCGGGAGUUGGGAACCGUCCGGCGUUUUACGCGUCGGCGGGGACUCUCCCUCGAUUCUGGCGGACUCUCGGACGGUCGAUGAAAAAUGACGACGCGGAGGAAAGCAAAUCCCCCGUCGUACGCGGCUGUAACGCGAUCGUUCAUCCGUCCCGUCUUGAAACACGGACCAAGGAGUCUAACAUGUACGCGAGUCAACGGGUUGGCUAAACCCCUAGGCGCAACGAAAGUAAAAAAGGAGCUUCUUUUUUUAAAAGAAGCUUCGUCGGGUCGAUCCGUGCUCCCUUAUAAGGACCGGCGCAGACCCGGGGCUCGCCGCUACCUCCUAGAGAUUCCGUCUCUAGGCGGGCGGCGGGCACCUCGAGCGUACAUGCUAGUACCCGAAAGAUGGUGAUCUAUGCCUGGCCAGGAUGAAGCCAGAGGAAACUCUGGUGGAG
rnacentral:rRNA from 1 species